UAGGGAAUAUUGGGCAAUGGGCGAAAGCCUGACCCAGCAACGCCGCGUGUGCGAUGAAGGUCUUCGGAUCGUAAAGCACUUUUCGGGGAGAUGAGAAAGGACAGUAUCCCCGGAAUAAGUCUCGGCUAACUACGUGCCAGCAGCCGCGGUAAAACGUAGGAGGCAAGCGUUAUCCGGAUUUACUGGGCGUAAAGCGCGUGCAGGCGGUUCGGUAAGUUGGAUGUGAAAGCUUCCGGCUCAACUGGGAGAGGUCGUUCAAUACUACCGGACUUGAGAGUGGUAGAGGGAGGUGGAAUUCCCGGUGUAGUGGUGAAAUGCGUAGAUAUCGGGAGGAACACCAGUGGCGAAAGCGGCCUCCUGGACCAUUUCUGACGCUCAGACGCGAAAGCUAGGGGAGCAAACGGGAUUAGAGACCCCGGUAGUCCUAGCUGUAAACGAUGUGAACUUGGCGUCGGUGGUGUAAAAACCAUCGGUGCCGAAGCCAACGCGAUAAGUUCACCGCCUGGGGACUACGGCCGCAAGGUUA
rnacentral:rRNA from 1 species